AUCAAUUUAUACAAAAGAAAGACACUGCCAUUUUGACUCUGUUGGCUGUUGCCAUUGCUAAGCUCUUUCAUUUCAUCUACCUUUUUGAAUUCAAGAGGACCUUAUUAUAAGCUAAAACUACAUAUAUAUACAUUUAUAAGUCUUCUAGGCUUAAGUCUCUCUAUAUUUUUUUCAAGUCUUCAUAGACUUCACAACAACCAAUUAAAUAACAGAAGGACUGGCAUAUAUAUUGGCAUUUUCUGUUUGCUCUUUUUGAAGUCAAUGGGGGGCGAGGGUUAAAAGCUUAAGGCAAAGACUAGAUCUUGAGAUGAAGAAAGCUAAAGGUAUCUUACACUUCUCUUUCUUUAAACCUUAGAUCCCAUUUCAUGGCUCUAUAUCUGUUAUAUCUCUGUCAAUUUCUUUCUUCUUCUCUUUUUUGUUUUUGUUUUUGGGUUGCAGAAAUGAAGGUGAAAGUUGCAGAUUUUUAAGCUUCUCAAGAACUAGAUCUAUGGUGGGUCGUUCUGAUGGUUUGGGAUGGAGACAGUCCAAUGCAAUCUCUGUGAUGGCCUCAGCAGCUUGUCUAGAGCAGCCUGUGCUUGUUAGGGUUACAUGUACUACUUGUUCAUUUGAAAAAUAAGUUCUGCUUGCUAAACCACCAAUGCCCCAAGGUACACUAGCUCCAAUACAGUAGCUAGUCUUCUCCUUCAUGAUUAGUUGUAAUAUUAUCUCCCCAAAUCUGUAAAUAUCAUAUGCUUUAGUUCCUGCUCAUGCAUGCAAUAAACUGUUAAGUUUAGAUAAUAAGAAUAAUCUUUUUUCUCUAAACCCAACACCAAAAACUGAAACUCACUAAAUACAUAUUUAUUAACUUUAAAUAAUAUAAUAUAUUAUUCAUCAUCUAAUACUUAAUUUUAUUUAUUAGAAAAAGAAGAAAUUUCAUUUAAUGAAUAGAAGAAAAAAGCUUUACAUCAUUUCACACUAACAACCCAAUAAUAUAUCAAACAUGUUUUUUGAUACAUUUGGAAUUUUUCUAACAUGUUUUUUUGUUCAAUUUCUAACUCCUAAAAAUAUGUUGUAUGAUAUCAAACUAUUCUAUGCAAGUCAUAGAUUAAAUUAAAAUUUAUCAUGUAAAUAAUUAAAACCCUAAAUCAUCUUUAGUAUGAAAAGUUGGGACAACAUAAAAAAAAUUUUAAAAAAAUUGAACUGGGUUUGGAUAAACUUGUACAACACUAGCUACAUAAACAUACUAUCUCAUGAAAACAAUUACCAACAAAAGAAUAACCACUAAAAUAUUCUUUUACCUGAUUCCACAUGUUCUUCCUCUGGUGUAACUCUACCAAAAUCAGCUAGUUUUGGGGUAAAAUCCUGCUCAUUAGUUCGAAUCAAAUAAAAGGUAGAAGUUAAACUUUCAGGAAGAAGAUGACAAUUUAGAAAGGUUGUAAUAUAUGUGGUUUACCUUAUCCAGCAAAAUAUUGUCCAGCUUUAGAUCUCUAUGGAUAAGUGGAGGUGUAAGGCCGUGUAGCUUCUGUAUAGCACAUGCAACUCCUUUGAUAAUUCUAAUAGUUUUGUUCCAGUCCAGACCUAUAUAUGUACAAUUAUACACCAGUUGUUAGCUAACAUAACUUAUUCAAAAACAUAGUUCUAAUCAACAAGGUCUCUCUUGUAUCAAGCUUGGGGAUGAUGCUGUUAUAUUUGAUCAUGGAGGAAUUGCGAAGGGUAUGGUUGACUUUUAUAAAUCUUUAUUUAGUGAUUCUUUACUGAAUAAAGAACAUGUGGAUGCUGCUAUCAUGAAGGAAGGAAGGGUGUUGAGUGAAGAAGAGAAUGAUGGGCUUCAGAUUCCUGUUACUGAUUAAGAACUAAGAAUGCUAUAUCUAGCACUGGAGACGGUAAAGCCCUUGGCCCUGAUGGGUAUCAUGACAUAUUUUUCGACAAAUAUUGAGGUUGUGAUUAAAAAGGAUGUUUGCAUCGUUUUGUUGGAUUUUUCAAUAAUGAGAAGCUGCUUCACUGCUUUAAUCGUCAUUCAUAAAGUGAAGAAUUCUGGUGGCUUUACUGAUUUCACACGUAAUGUGAUUUUAAAAUGCAAUACUAAGGUCUUGACUGAUGCUUAGACUGUGUUAUCUAAGUCAAUCAAUCUGGCUUUCUUUCUGGCAAGAGACUUGGGGAAAUUGUGUUAUUACUGCUGCAGAAUGACAAAUUUUGUCUCUACUGGUAAAACUCUUUUUUUGGAACAAUGUAAUGAAUAAUGGGAGAAAACCUGUUAACUUAUCCAAGACAGUUCCAUUUCGCAUGAAUGCAUACACAAGGUAGAACUUUUCUUGA